rnacentral:rRNA from 1 species
CCCAACUGAUUGAACGUGCUUGCACGGACUUGACGUUGGUUUACCAGCGAGUGGCGGACGGGUGAGUAACACGUAGGUAACCUGCCCCAAAGCGGGGGAUAACAUUUGGAAACAGAUGCUAAUACCGCAUAACAAUUUGAAUCGCAUGAUUCAAAUUUAAAAGAUGGCUUCGGCUAUCACUUUGGGAUGGACCUGCGGCGCAUUAGCUUGUUGGUAGGGUAACGGCCUACCAAGGCUGUGAUGCGUAGCCGAGUUGAGAGACUGAUCGGCCACAAUGGAACUGAGACACGGUCCAUACUCCUACGGGAGGCAGCAGUAGGGAAUCUUCCACAAUGGGCGCAAGCCUGAUGGAGCAACACCGCGUGAGUGAAGAAGGGUUUCGGCUCGUAAAGCUCUGUUGUUAGAGAAGAACGUGCGUGAGAGCAACUGUUCACGCAGUGACGGUAUCUAACCAGAAAGUCACGGCUAACUACGUGCCAGCAGCCGCGGUAAUACGUAGGUGGCAAGCGUUAUCCGGAUUUAUUGGGCGUAAAGCGAGCGCAGGCGGUUUGAUAAGUCUGAUGUGAAAGCCUUUGGCUUAACCAAAGAAGUGCAUCGGAAACUGUCAGACUUGAGUGCAGAAGAGGACAGUGGAACUCCAUGUGUAGCGGUGGAAUGCGUAGAUAUAUGGAAGAACACCAGUGGCGCAGGCGGCUGUCUGGUCUG